UGUGUGUGUGUGUGUGUGUGUGCGCGUGCGACGUUUUAUCUGUCCACUGAACAGCAGAGGCCAGUGCGGGGUCUGUUCUCAGUGGUGUGUGUGUGUGUGUGUGUGUGGAGGGGGCACACAAAUAAGCUACAUAUAGGACACAAAGGGGAUGCAAAAUGGCCACCCGUCAAUCAAUUCUUCAGCAACUAGUUAGGCUAGGCUACUCCACUUCAUCCUGCAAUAAUAAGCGGAGGGGUGCUUUGCGGUUUAAACCCAGGUAGAUUGUGUACCUUGCAUUACACAGAUCCUCAUAAAUAUGUCAUUAGGUCCUCAGGCAGUUAUCCUAUCCUGUGUUUGGAUGGAUUUUGGUGGAGGUGCCUUUCCCCACACACACACACACACACACACACACACACACACACACACACACACACACACAUCUUCUGCUAGUAUUACGGCUGGCUUAAGAGAAAGACCAGAGGAGAAGAGGGAGAAAAGCAGACAGUGUUUGUGUUUCCACAUUCACAGUAUCCUUGAGGAAAAUGAAAACCCAAAAGAAAGAAAAGCAUAUUUAACAUUUCUGGAAUUGGCAGCCAGGCAGCUGUGAAAAUGGACCUGUAAUCCGAGGUCUUAAUGUUGUGUUUAUUGUAAACACGGCACUUCAAAAGGAGUCCCCCUUUUUAGUCUGGGUGAGGAAGGCCUGGAGGCUUUGCCACCUCCUCCUCCGACCCUGAGUGCUCUCCUCUCGCAGGUCUAAAAGCUGCCACCUCCUCCUGAGCGUCUCCUCUCGCAGGUAUAAAAGCUGACACCUCCUCAUCUGGCCCUAAGCGUCCCCUCUCGCAGGUCUAAAAGCACAUCACAGCUCUCACUCGGGCUCUUAUUACCACCAGUUCUGCCUUUCUUUCAGACGCUAAGAGGGGGAUAUGACGUCCUGCUGGGUGAACUGAAAGUCCCAGUAAAA